AUGACACUGCCUGGCCAGACUCAGAGUCCACAUCCCAGCGGCUGCCUCAAAAGAGCUGUUAGAAGAAGAAAAUGCUCAUUUGUUGCAACUGAGACCAUGUGCUCUGAAAUCCAGUCAUGGGCAUUGGAAAUGGAGAUCCCUCUAAAAACUGUGGCAAUGCUGAGGGUCCAAGAGGCUCUUGAUACCACUCCUGGAGAGGUUGUUUUCUCUGGAAGCAGGAACUGAGAGUGAAUUUGGAUUGCAUUUUCUCACGAUAAAAAUGGAUAGUUGUGGCUUGGAAAAUGGGAAACUGGACCAACUAUGAACUAGAGCAAAGUUGAAGACAACUCUAAAUGUUUCGAGAGUAUUUUUGGUAAUUCCCUGAGCUUUCCUGACAAUUGGUCCUUCUACCCUCACUGCAUCCUGUGGGAUAAUGUUACAUACCCGAAGUCCGGGAGGCAGCACGGUGCAACUUCAGGGGUAGUAGCAGUUUUCCUUUUUUGUUUUUUUUUCAAUUAAACGGUUUUUCCGAGAAAACCUAAUUAUUUAAUAGUGUUGUAGCUCUGAAGUUGUGAGUUGAUUCGAGAUAUUUGGAGUUCUGGUUCUGUGAGGCUUAGCUACAUGUGGCUAUUGGAUCACAUAUCCGCUCCCCUGCCAUGUAAGAUGAAAACACGUUGGAAUAUAACUAUUGGUUGGCUUUGUGGUGUUGGGUGAGUGUGCCAGUCUGAGGUUAGAGAAGAGAUGGGAUCCCAAGCCCUGGGCUUUGUAUUAUAUAGUAUUGUAUUUUGAUGUUGUACUUAAGGGUCAAUUACUGUUUCCAUUAUAAACCUUGUUUUUCAAGGGUUUAUAACUCACCAAUUUUCAUUUUGGUAUGCAAGCUGCAUGAAUAUACAGGUUUUAAAAAUAGCUUAAAUUGGGCAGUGCCAUUUUUAGAUAGAAAGCAGUAAAAUGCACUUUUCAUUGGUUUCAGUUUGUUUUGGAAGUUUCCAAUCUAAAAGUUUAUUCUAUCUUAAAAUGCAAAAAUGCAUGUUUUUUCAUGCCUUUUCAUAACUGAUUUGCAUAGGGGAGGUGGUUAAAGGGAGCCAAGGGAGAUAGCAAUGAAACUUCAAGAGGAAAACAAAUAAAAUAGCUCUUUGCUUGUGAAGAUAUAUGGGU
rnacentral:lncRNA from 1 species